ACUGGUGACAAGUGACAGGAUGAGGGGAAAUGGCCUCAAGUUGCACCAAGGCAAACUACCCAGAGAAAUAAUCAUGACAUUUUAGGAAGCCGUCCUCAACAGGAGAGCACUUCUCCAUCUGAUCACAGCACAAGAGAAGGAACACGGAGACAAAGUAUGUCCAUCUUCAGCUUUGCUUUGAUGAAAGGCCUUGUUCUUAAGUAUGUGCAGCUCCCAGUUUGUCAGUAUAUAGGGGCUACUACAAAAGCUAUUAGUUAAAACUUCUAUUCAACUUGAUUUGACCAUUGCCUUUGUUUGAAGAGUGUGGAAAAAGCUUUUUUCUAUCUGUACAGAUCCGAAGGAGGGAAAUAAGGAUAGUAACAUAUAAGCACAGAAAUGGAAAAGGAGAGCAUGCUAAAAGGGAUCAGCUCUGGACAUGCUGCCUCCUUACGAGAAACUUAUUGGGCAGAGAGGAGCUAAACUAAGCAGCACCAUCUAGUGUCAGGCUAGGAACAGAGCUGGUGCCUGGAUCCUCCAAGGACUUCUGCCUAUAUCAGUCAGGUUCCCCCCAGAAAACCUAAUACACUAAUCCAUUAGGAAAUAAGCAGUAAUUUCUAGUUAAAACAGGUCUUGAACUCACAAUUCAGUUCUUUUUUUUCCCCCUAUUACACUGCUGAAUGCGGUGAUUUCUCGGUCCAGUCUUGUGACCUCGUUUUUCAUCUUUGUCUUGUUCCUCCUUAAUCAUUUUAAUGAAACGGUAACAAAUAUGCCCAGUAACCUUCUUGAUAAGCACAUACUCAUCCACUUUUUUUCUUUUUGGUAAAAUCUGUGAAGAGGACAUGGAUUUGGUCUACUCCAUCCCAUCCCAGUUCCUAAGAUUCCAUCCCUUGGUCUAUGCCGGACUUUCUGCACCAAAUCAAAAUGACUUCUGAUUUGCAGCAUUACUUCUAUUCCUUAAUUAGCUCACAACAACUGCAGAAAAUGUGAGUCAUCUCCUUCAUUCUCUCUGACUCUUGGGCAAAUUAUUGGCUUAUUGGACUUUCAGUCCACCUAUUGUCCUACAUCUUGCUUGCAAGAAAGCCAUCGAGGCCCUGGAGUGUGUGCAGAGAACGGCAAU